rnacentral:rRNA from 1 species
CGUCAAAUCAUCAUGCCCUUGAUGUCCUGGGCGACACACGUGCUACAAUGGGCGGUACAACGGGCAGCGAGACCGCGAGGUGGAGCGAAUCCCUGAAAGCCGCUCGUAGUUCGGAUUGCAGGCUGCAACCCGCCUGCAUGAAGCCGGAAUUGCUAGUAAUCGCGGAUCAGCAUGCCGCGGUGAAUCCGUUCCCGGGCCUU